rnacentral:rRNA from 1 species
UAAUACGGAGGGGGCUAGCGUUGUUCGGAAUUACUGGGCGUAAAGCGCACGUAGGCGGACGAGAAAGUCAGAGGUGAAAUCCCAGGGCUCAACCUUGGAACUGCCUUUGAAACUUCUUGUCUUGAGGUCGAGAGAGGUGAGUGGAAUUCCGAGUGUAGAGGUGAAAUUCGUAGAUAUUCGGAGGAACACCAGUGGCGAAGGCGGCUCACUGGCUCGAUACUGACGCUGAGGUGCGAAAGCGUGGGGAGCAAACAGG